rnacentral:rRNA from 1 species
GACGAACGCUGGCGGCGUGCUUAACACAUGCAAGUCGAACGAAGAGCGAUGGAAGCUUGCUUCUCUCAAUCUUAGUGGCGAACGGGUGAGUAACGCGUAAUCAACCUGCCCUUCAGAGGGGGACAACAGUUGGAAACGACUGCUAAUACCGCAUACGAUCUAACCUCGGCAUCGAGGAUGGAUGAAAGGUGGCCUCUAUUUAUAAGCUAUCACUGAAGGAGGGGAUUGCGUCUGAUUAGCUAGUUGGAGGGGUAACGGCCCACCAAGGCGAUGAUCAGUAGCCGGUCUGAGAGGAUGAACGGCCACAUUGGGACUGAGACACGGCCCAGACUCCUACGGGAGGCAGCAGUGGGGAAUCUUCCGAAAUGGACGAAAGGCUGACGGAGCAACGCCGCGGGAGUGAUGACGGCCUUCGGGUUGGAAAGCUCUGUUAAUCGGGACGAAAGGCCUUCUUGCGAAUAGUUAGAAGGAUUGACGGUACCGGAAUAGAAAGCCACGGCUAACUACGUA